UAAAUUUCUACUGGGUAAGAAACCUAUUUAAAUUAUUAAUGCCACAAACCAACAGGCAGUCAGCAGCAUGGCAAGAAUCCAAGGGCAGUUCAGGCCCAAGUAUGUCAGAGUGGGUAUCUCUUCUCAGAGGUUUCAGAGGGCAGGGUGGGGUGAGCCUCCAUGCCAAGAGCCAUGCUUGUAGGGGUGGGAGGAAGUUUACAUCCCAAGGAUGGAUGUGCGAUCAUGAGGAUAUGAAAAGGCUGGAGGAGGAGCCUGUUUAGUUAGUGUGUAUCCAUCCUGCACUGUGUCACUGGUAGCUCCUGAUAACUUUGUCUAUAAACUUGGGUCCUGUACACAGAAGCCACUCCUAGGAAGGAGAGACAUAGUCGCAUAUGGGUAUGAACUAAGCAUUUGGUCUGGGUUCUAAUAGACAGGAAUGCCUUUUCUUUUUUUUUUUUAAAGGAUUUUUUAAAUUAUUUAUUGAUUCUACUGCUACUUUUAAAAUGUUUAUUUUUAAAGAUUUUUUUUUUUACUUUUUCAUUCAUACAGUUUUUUAUUGUUAGUUUUCUGACAAGCAUUCAAGUGUCACAGAGGGAAAGAGAGAGAGUGUGUUAUAUUCCCUGCUGUAGGAGUUACAGACACGUGGGUGCUGAGAACCAAACUGGGUUCUCUGCAAUGACAACUGCCAAGCUGUUUCCCCUCGCCCUCUAAUGCUACCUUUAAUUUUGACUGUAAAUCCCACUUGAAAAUUCGAAAACACAACCAUUCUAAUACAUCAUUGACUGCGGAAAUGGCCUCAGCGCUGCAACCGGAAACAGAAACUGACCACUACAUAAACGCCAUCUAACGACCAGCUUAGAGCAAAGACAAACCCUGAAAGUAGCCCAAUCGGAAGGGGCUUGGCUUUUCCUGUUAAAAUCUGACAAAGAACAGGACGAGAGGGAGUCUCGAAGAACUGUUUUUUUUUUUUUCAGCCGGUUUGACUCUGUCGUCCCUCAAGACCACUUUUGC